rnacentral:rRNA from 1 species
CCUACGGGUGGCAGCAGUGAGGAAUAUUGGUCAAUGGACGAGAGUCUGAACCAGCCAAGUAGCGUGAAGGAUGACUGCCCUAUGGGUUGUAAACUUCUUUUAUAAAGGAAUAAAACGAGGCACGUGUGCCUUUUUGCAUGUACUUUAUGAAUAAGGAUCGGCUAACUCCGUGCCAGCAGCCGCGGUAAUACGGAGGAUCCGAGCGUUAUCCGGAUUUAUUUGGUUUAAAGGGAGAGUAGAUGGGUUGUUAAGUCAGUUGUGAAAGUUUGCGGCUCAACCGUAAAAUUGCAAUUGAUACUGGCAGUCUUGAGUACAGUUGAGGUAGGCGGAAUGCGUGGUGUAGCGGUGAAAUGCUUAGAUAUCACGAAGAACCCCGAUUGCGAAGGCAGCUUACUAAACUGUGACUGACAUUGAUGCUCGAAAGUGUGGGUAUCAAACAGGAUUAGAUACCCUUGUAGUC